ACGCAUAAAAGAUGGAAGUCCGUCCAGUCCGGUCUAGAGAUGCACUGGCAUACACAUAAAAGAAGCGAACGUCUACUUUCCAGCAAUCUACGGUUGGUGGUACCUUUUUCAACUCUUCCAUUGUUGUGCGUACCACUAACAACCGAUAAGGCAGACACAAAAAACGCUUUCCAAGUUUGAAGAAAGUGCAAGCACCCGUCCCGAGGAAGUCGAUCAUGAAGUUAGGGUUUUCUUGCCGGCACCAGUCUGUUUUGUGAGAGCUGCUUGCAAUGAUGUCAAGACCCAUGUUGCUUGUUUUUCUGUUGCUUAUACUUAUCAUCACUUCUCAGUUUGAGUGGAAGCAACAACUUGUCUUUGACCUUGACUCAACUCCCAGCAUCUCACCGAAGCACCCCCAAAUUUCAAAGAGGGAAGAAGCUGUAAAGGAGAAGAUAAUUUUAUCACAAGAACAGAAAAUUCAGAGACUCAAUGAACUUGUACGGAGUCUCAGAAAACAAUUGCAGCAGUGCAGAAACAAUAAUGAGACUUCAGAUCGCAAUUUAAGCCCUUUAACUGAGCAUGUUAUCCGGCUUGAACGACAGCAGAUCCUGGAAAACUGAAAUGAGUAUGGGACCAGUGCUGAAGGUUCUUGCAAGAACCUUACAAGUGGUAUCAGCAGUGGGCGAUCCUUGGAGAAGAGAUUCUGAUGGCAGAAGGUACACGUGCAGCGAUGAAAGAAGUAUCUCAGAAGCAACAAGAUUUGUUUCAGAAGCAAUUGGAAGGACAUCACCAGGCAAUUGCUGCUAUAACAGAAAGGCAAAGUAGCUAAGUUUUCAUCCAUUACGUUAUUGUGGCAUUCCAUCCAAACUGAGAACAUCUAGCAAGGCAAGAAGUUUCGGUAGAUGGUUUUAUAGUUCACAUUACAAGAUGAAUCAUCUUUUUCUUUUUCUUUUUUUAAUGUUGUUUACUGUAACAUUGGCUGUGUAUCAAAAUUUAUUCAGCAGUUCGAUAUCAAUCAACAGAAACUACAGCUUUCUUUCAUACCUACCAUGUCUUAGGCAGUCUUGUUCAACACAAAUCUAAUGAAUUAAAUUCAGUUCCACUCUUCGUUACAAGAUCAAUAAACAGUGCAGAUUUUCUUUUUUAA